UCCAGGUCUGCCUCCCCCCUGAACUUUGUCAAACACAGGAAAACACACACAGAAGCAAAUUCACAGGAGCAAACACAGAGAGGAGCCGCUGAGUUUGAUUCCAUCCAUGGCGGUCUGUCCCUCGCUGAUGUUCGGAGGUCAGGGGCGUGAUGUCCAUCCACAACUCCUGGUUUCACAAAGGCAGACGCAAGAAUUGCGUUUGGACAAUCAACUCCAGACCUCCACGUCUCCUUUGGUCAUUAGAGGACUCACAUUCCUGAAGAGGCAGGUGCAUCGCCUGGUUGUGUGGCAGUUGGUGCAGAGCUGAUUUAGUGAUUUAAGUUUCAAGCCACCAAGGCCUGGGAGAGGAUCCAAAAUAUCAGUUUGUCCACUUGCUGAGAAGAAAGGUUCAAGCAGUGUUUGUCCGUGGCCCUCACCCACAAUCAGCGAUUGUGGGUGAAAAAAAAGAAAGACCUGAAAAAAGAAAUAACCAAGAAUAAGCCUGAGAAAGAGAAAGGGAAAAAGCGCUAACUCAUGCUUGUAUUCUGAGCCGGUGACACCAUGAUAAACGAAGGGGUCACCACCCGGGGGCAGGCCCGUCCUAAAGGAGCCAGCGCUGUGACCUUGCACAAAAGAAGGAGUGGGUCCCCCCCAACGGUCACACGGAUCAAAGAGGACAAAAGCCUGAGAUGAUAACUCAGCACAGCAGUUGUGCACCUGAUUAUCAAGCACAUAAGCAACAGGGAUAGAAAAUUUCCCCAACUUAGCUCAAGUGAGGGUGGAGUAACGGGAUGCUUGAGAAUUAAAAAGUAAAACCAUGA